AUUGAACGCUGGCGGCAGGCCUAACACAUGCAAGUCGAGCGGAUGAAGGGAGCUUGCUCCUGGAUUCAGCGGCGGACGGGUGAGUAAUGCCUAGGAAUCUGCCUGGUAGUGGGGGAUAACGUCCGGAAACGGGCGCUAAUACCGCAUACGUCCUGAGGGAGAAAGUGGGGGAUCUUCGGACCUCACGCUAUCAGAUGAGCCUAGGUCGGAUUAGCUAGUUGGUAGGGUAAAGGCCUACCAAGGCGACGAUCCGUAACUGGUCUGAGAGGAUGAUCAGUCACACUGGAACUGAGACACGGUCCAGACUCCUACGGGAGGCAGCAGUGGGGAAUAUUGGACAAAGGGCGAAAGCCUGAUCCAGCCAUGCCGCGUGUGUGAAGAAGGUCUUCGGAUUGUAAAGCACUUUAAGUUGGGAGGAAGGGCAGUAAGUUAAUACCUUGCUGUUUUGACGUUACCAACAGAAUAAGCACCGGCUAACUUCGUG
rnacentral:rRNA from 1 species